rnacentral:rRNA from 1 species
CAGCCGCCGCGGUAAUACUCUCGGUCUAAGUGGGACUCGAUUUUAUUGGGUCUAAAACGUCCGUAGCCGGUUUUGCAAGUUUCUUGCUAAAUUGUUAUGCUUAACAUAACAGCUGCAAAAAAUACUGCAAGGCUAGAGACUGGGAGACGUAGUGAGUACAUUAAGGGUAGUAGUAAAAUGCGUUAAUCCUUUUUGGACUAACAAUGGCGAAGGCACACUACGAGAACAGAUCUGACGGUCAGGGAUGAAAGCGAGGGGCGCAAAACGGAUUAGAUACCCGUGUAGUCCUCGCUGUAAACGCUGCCUAUUAAACAUUGUGAUCUCCUCGAGAGAUGGCUGUGCUGAAGCGAAGGCGGAAAUAGGCUACCUGGGAAGUAUAGUCGCAAGAUCGAAACUUAAAGGAAUUGGCGGGGGAGCACUACAAGGGGUGACGCGUGCGGUUCAAUUAGAUUCUACCCCGUGAACCUCACCAGGAGCGACAGCAGAAUGAAGGUCAGUCUAAAGGGCUUACCUGACACGCUGAGAGGAGUUACAUAGCCGUCGUCAGCCUGUGUCGUGAGAUGAUCUGUUAAAUCAGGUAACAGGCGAGACCUGUGUGUAUAGUUGCUAUUCGGUAAGAAGGCACUCUAUACAGACUGCCUCCGCAAGGGGGAGGAAGGUGCAGGCAACGAUAGGUAGCCAUGACCCAAAUCCCCUGGGCUACACGCGCGCGGCAAUGGCGAAAACAAUGAGUUGCAAUACCGAAAGGUAAAGCUAAUCCCCUAAAUUUCGUCCUAGUCCAGAUUGAAGUUUGCAACCCAACUUCAUGACGCUGGAAUCCCUAGUAAUCGGACAUUAUCAAUGUCCGGUGAAUACGUCCCUGCUCCUUGCACACACCGCCAGUCAAACCAACCGAGUUAUGCAAUGAUGAAGUUCUUUAUAGGAAAAUCUUACUAUGAUAAGGUUGGUUAAGUCGUAACAAGGUAGCCGUA